rnacentral:rRNA from 1 species
CAAUAGCGUAUAUUAAAGUUGUUGCAGUUAAAAAGCUCGUAGUUGGAUUUCUGGUUAAAGCGACCGGUCGGGCGUUGAUUCGUCUGCACUGGAGUCGGUUUUGGCCAUCCUCUAGGAAAGUGCGUCUGGUAUUAAGUUAUCGGGCGUAUGAUCCUGGUCUUUUACUGUGAAAAAAUUAGAGUGUUUAAAGCAGGCCUUCGCCUUGAAUACAUUAGCAUGGAAUAAUAAGAUAGGACUUUGGUCUAUUUUGUUGGUUUGCAGACCGAAGUAAUGAUUAAUAGGGAUAGUUGGGGGUAUUUAUAUUCCGAUGUCAGAGGUGAAAUUCUUAGAUUUUCGGAAGAUAAACUUAUGCGAAAGCAUUUACCAAGGAUGUUCUCAUUAA